rnacentral:rRNA from 1 species
GACGAACGCUGGCGGCGUGCCUAAUACAUGCAAGUAGAACGCUGACUACUUUAGCUUGCUAGAGUAGAAGGAGUUGCGAACGGGUGAGUAACGCGUAGGUAACCUGCCUACUAGCGGGGGAUAACUAUUGGAAACGAUAGCUAAUACCGCAUAACAGUGUUUAACACAUGUUAGAUGCUUGAAAGAUGCAAUUGCAUCACUAGUAGAUGGACCUGCGUUGUAUUAGCUAGUUGGUGGGGUAACGGCCCACCAAGGCGACGAUACAUAGCCGACCGCAGAGGCUAAUCGGCCACACUGGGACUGAGACACGGCCCAGACUCCUACGGGAGGCAGCAGUAGGGAAUCUUCGGCAAUGGGGGCAACCCUGACCGAGCAACGCCGCGUGAGUGAAGAAGGUUUUCGGAUCGUAAAGCUCUGUUGUAAGAGAAGAACGUGUGUGAGAGUGGAAAGUUCACACAGUGACGGUAACUUACCAGAAAGGGACGGCUAACUACGUGCCAGCCGCCGCAGUAA